GAUGAACGCUGGCGGCGUGCCUAAUACAUGCAAGUCGAGCAAACAGACGAGGAGCUUGCUCCUCUGACGUUAGCGGCGGACGGGUGAGUAACACGUGGAUAACCUACCUAUAAGACUGGGAUAACUUCGGGAAACCGGAGCUAAUACCGGAUAAUAUAUUGAACCGCAUGGUUCAAUAGUGAAAGACGGUUUUGCUGUCACUUAUAGAUGGAUCCGCGCCGCAUUAGCUAGUUGGUAAGGUAACGGCUUACCAAGGCAACGAUGCGUAGCCGACCUGAGAGGAUGAUCGGCCACACUGGAACUGAGACACGGUCCAGACUCCUACGGGAGGCAGCAGUAGGGAAUCUUCCGCAAUGGGCGAAAGCCUGACGGAGCAACGCCGCGUGAGUGAUGAAGGUCUUCGGAUCGUAAAACUCUGUUAUUAGGGAAGAACAAAUGUGUAAGUAACUAUGCACGUCUUGACGGUACCUAAUCAGAAAGCCACGGCUAACUACGUG
rnacentral:rRNA from 1 species